rnacentral:rRNA from 1 species
UACAGAGGUGGCAAGCGUUGUUCGGAAUUACUGGGCGUAAAGGGCGAGUAGGUGGCCAUCUAAGUCAGACGUGAAAUCCCCCGGCUUAACCUGGGAACUGCGUCUGAUACUGGACGGCUUGAGUAUGGGAGAGGAAUGUAGAAUUCCAGGUGUAGCGGUGAAAUGCGUAGAUAUCUGGAGGAAUACCGGUGGCGAAGGCGGCAUUCUGGACCGACACUGACGCUGAGGCGCGAAAGCUAGGGGAGCAAACGGG